AGCGAACGCUGGCGGCAGGCUUAACACAUGCAAGUCGAGCGGGCCCUUCGGGGUCAGCGGCAGACGGGUGAGUAACACGUGGGAACGUACCCUUUGGUUCGGAAUAACGCUGGGAAACUAGCGCUAAUACCGGAUACGCCCUUUUGGGGGAAGGCUUGCUGCCGAAGGAUCGGCCCGCGUCUGAUUAGCUAGUUGGGGGGGUAAUGGCCUACCAAGGCGACGAUCAGUAGCUGGUCUGAGAGGAUGAUCAGCCACACUGGGACUGAGACACGGCCCAGACUCCUACGGGAGGCAGCAGUGGGGAAUAGUGGACAAUGGGCGCAAGCCUGAUCCAGCCAUGCCGCGUGAGUGAUGUAGGCCUUAGGGUUGUAAAGCUCUUUUGUCCGGGACGAUAAUGACGGUACCGGAAGAAUAAGCCCCGGCUAACUUCGUG
rnacentral:rRNA from 1 species